CUACAAGGAUGCCAUGCCUUAGUUUUGGAGGAGAAGAAUUAAUGGUGAGAAGUCCCACUUUGGGAAGAGCACUUUUUCGGCUAAUUACUUAGAAUAUAGGUAGAAAAAAAAAAGUCAGACACUUAUUGGUCAGACACAUGCUGGGUAUAAAUCUAUUGUUGCCGGGCUGACACAGCCCGGCACCUGACACCAAAUUUUUUUUAAAAAAAAAAGAUGUCAGGUGCCGGGCUGACAUAGCCCGUCACCUGACCGAAUUUUUUUUAAAAAACAUGGCAGGUGCCGGGCCCAAAUUUUUGAGCUUUUUAAAAAAGCUGGCAGAGCUACAGAAUUCCUGCCUGAGUCAGAUCUUGUGACAACUAUUAUGGAAUUUUUUUUUUUUUGCUAAUUAGAAAAAAACUAGGAUCUGGCGAAGUAAUGGAGAAAUGUUCU
rnacentral:lncRNA from 1 species